rnacentral:rRNA from 1 species
GACAGAGGGUGCAAACGUUGCUCGGAAUUACUGGGCGUAAAGGGCUCGUAGGCGGCCAACUAAGUCGGAUGUGAAAUCCCCAGGCUUAACCUGGGAACUGCAUCCGAUACUGGAUGGCUUGAAUCCGGGAGAGGGAUGCAGAAUUCCAGGUGUAGCGGUGAAAUGCGUAGAUAUCUGGAGGAAUACCGGUGGCGAAGGCGGCAUCCUGGACCGGCAUUGACGCUGAUGAGCGAAAGCUAGGGGAGCAAACGGG